rnacentral:rRNA from 1 species
AUGGGAACGCGAAGAACCUUACCUAGACUUGACAUCUCCUGAAUAGUGUAGAGAUGCUUUGGUGCCUUCGGGAACUCUGAGACAGGUGCUGCAUGGCUGUCGUCAGCUCGUGUUGUGAAAUGUUGGGUUAAGUCCCGCAACGAGCGCAACCCUUAUCCUUUGUUGCCAGCGAUUCGGUCGGGAACUCAAAGGAGACUGCCAGUGAUAAACUGGAGGAAGGUGGGGAUGACGUCAAGUCAUCAUGGCCCUUACGAGUAGGGCUACACACGUGCUACAAUGGCAUAUACAAAGAGAAGCGACCUCGCGAGAGCAAGCGGACCUCAUAAAGUAUGUCGUAGUCCGGAUUGGAGUCUGCAACUCGACUCCAUGAAGUCGGAAUCGCUAGUAAUCGUAGAUCAGAAUGCUACGGUGAAUACGUUCCCGGGUCUUGUACAC